rnacentral:rRNA from 1 species
UACAGAGGUCUCAAGCGUUGUUCGGAUUCAUUGGGCGUAAAGGGUGCGUAGGCGGCGCGGUAAGUCGGGUGUGAAAUCUCGGGGCUUAACUCCGAAACUGCAUUCGAUACUGCCGUGCUUGAGGACUGGAGAGGAGACUGGAAUUUACGGUGUAGCGGUGAAAUGCGUAGAUAUCGUAAGGAAGACCAGUGGCGAAGGCGGGUCUCUGGACAGUUCCUGACGCUGAGGCGCGACAGCGUGGGGAGCAAACAGG